UACGUAGGGUGCAAGCGUUGUCCGGAAUUAUUGGGCGUAAAGGGCGCGUAGGCGGUCGUGUGCGUCAGAGGUGAAAUCCCCGGGCUUAACCCGGGAGCUGCCUCUGAUACGGCAUGGCUUGAGUCCGGGAGAGGAGAGCAGAAUUCCCAGUGUAGCGGUGAAAUGCGUAGAUAUUGGGAGGAAUACCGGUGGCGAAGGCGGCUCUCUGGACCGGUACUGACGCUAAAGCGCGAAAGCGUGGGUAGCAAACAGG
rnacentral:rRNA from 1 species